rnacentral:rRNA from 1 species
AGCGAACGCUGGCGGCAGGCCUAACACAUGCAAGUCGAACGAACCCUUCGGGGUUAGUGGCGGACGGGUGAGUAACACGUGGGAACGUGCCUUUAGGUUCGGAAUAACUCAGGGAAACUUGUGCUAAUACCGAAUGUGCCCUUCGGGGGAAGGAUUUAUCGCCUUUAGAGCGGCCCGCGUCUGAUUAGCUAGUUGGUGAGGUAAUGGCUCACCAAGGCUACGAUCAGUAGCUGGUCUGAGAGGAUGACCAGCCACAUUGGGACUGAGACACGGCCCAAACUCCUACGGGAGGCAGCAGUGGGGAAUCUUGCGCAAUGGGCGAAAGCCUGACGCAGCCCUGCCGCGUGGAUGAUGAAGGUCUUAGGAUUGUAAAAUCCUUUCACCGGUGAAGAUAAUGACUGUAGCCGGAGAAGAAGCCCCGGCUAACUUCGUGCCAGCCGCCGCUGUAAAAC